rnacentral:rRNA from 1 species
UCAUAUGCUUGUCUCAAAGAUUAAGCCAUGCAUGUCUAAGUACAGACUUUCACACAGUGAAACCGCAAAUGGCUCAUUAAAUCAGUUAUGAUUUCUUAGAUCGUACAAUCCUACUUGGAUAACUGUGGUAAUUCUAGAGCUAAUACAUGAAACUCCGCUCCGACCUCACGGGAAGAGCGCUUUUAUUAGAUCAAGAUCAAUCGGGUUUCGGCCCGUCCUAUUGGUGAUUCUGAAUAACUUUGGGCUGAUCGCAUGGCCUCGAGCCGGCGACGUAUCUUUCAAGUGUCUGCCCUAUCAACUUUCGAUGGUACGUGAUAUGCCUACCAUGGUUGUAACGGGAAACGGAGAAUCAAGGUUCGAUUCCGGAGAGGGAGC